rnacentral:lncRNA from 1 species
GGUUAGAGUUGUCCGGCGGAAAUUCAAGCACAUAAUUGGAGAGGACCUUGUGGUGUGUCAGAUUGGUGUGCUUUCCUAUGAAUUUCCCCCAGCUCUGAAACCACCAGAAGACCUGGUAGUACUGGGAAAGGAUGCUUCUGGAUUGCUCAGAAGUAUGGCCUAAAGAGUAAGUCUCAUGGGGUGGGCCAUGAUAGGUACCUGGUGGUAGGUAGAAAACGGCGGAAGGAAGACCUACUAGAUCAACUCAAACAGGAGGGCCAAGUGGGACAUUAUGAGCUUGUUAUGCCCCAAGCAAACUAAGAUUUUACUAAAUUAAUCUUAUAAAUGCCUGAUGAGGCAGAUAUACAGAUAACAAAAAAGCUACAUGUUCCGGUUGAAGAGUAUUCAUUCUUAAGAUGUUUCACCUUGUUCAUUUCAUAUAGUGCUUUAUUAGGUAUUGGAACCUGGAGAAUUCUGUCCACUUGUACUAUAAGCUUAAUCCAGCAGAGAUAUUGUGCAGCUACUGUUUGUGUCUUUGAUAUUGCUCUGUUCCCUCAGAUUUUAGUAGUUUGUACAAGCAAAAACACCCAUCUAAGUGCAAUUUCACCCUGAGGAAAAUAAUUCACAUUAUAAAGGGCAUAGCACAGUAAUCUGCAACAAUCUGUAGUCAAUGCUGAGACUCUAACUACGCUAAUUCCAGAUUUACUUAACAUGUCAGGUCAUUUUGUAUCAUCGAUUUUCAUCUUUGUGAGAAGCCAGUUGUAGAGCAUUUAACAAUAAAGUGUGCUGUACGUGUAAAUGUCUUUAUCAACUAAAUGAUGUAAAACUUUCUUUAAAGUAAUUUUAGUGUGUGUUUAUUUAUAACUUCUACCAUGUGAUUUCCAGGAUAUUGGAAGUGAUUUACUGUAUCUUGUGACAUGUGACUUUUAACAAAUUCUAGUCUUCACGCUGAGAGAGCACUACUUGAGAGAGAUGUCGAAAAGUUUCCAAAAGGUCUUGAUUCAAUCAGAAGAAAGGAAGCUUGAACUGUUUGUUCUUGGUGCCUUGCAGAGAGACUCAGAGCAACUCUCCAUUGUAGCUUUCAUACGGUUUGUGCACCACACCCAAGGCAACCAGAGCUGUGGUAGAGCUUGGUAAAAGACGGAAGAUACAUUGGUGCUUUGAUGAAAAAGGUCAGUUAGCUGGUUCCCCUCUCAAAAAGCUUAUUUCUCCCCAAAGCCAACUUUGUAACAUACUUAAAACUGCUAUUUUCGCUUAUUUCUGGAAUAUAAAAAUGUAUAAAAAUAAGAGUUAGUGUAUGCUUCCUGAAUAAAAAGGAGCCAGAGUUGAUCAAAA